AUGGACGACGCCGGGGAGCCGCGCCUGCCCAGGAAGAGGGGCACCAAGAGGCCCCCUCCCUCGGCGGCGCCGCCGCCGCCCGCCCAGGGCGGCGGCAGGGGGAGGGACAGGUUCGAGUCGCUCUGGCGGGACUACCACGAUUUGCUCAAGGAAACUGAGGCAAAGAAGAGGAGGCUAGAGCGCAUAAACCAGCGAAAGCUUGGACUGCUCGCCGAAGUCAAAUUCUUGCGGAAGAAGUACAGUUCGUUUGCGAAGGAUGAUCCAGAGCAAACACAUCACAGGCUAAAGAAGAAGAAGGCUAAGCAAAUCCCAUCCAUUCUGGGAAUCAAUGAAGGGCCAUCCACCAGCAAGAACACAAAUGUGGACUUGAAUCAUGAUUCUGCAAUGAAUGCUGAGGGAGCCGGUUUCCAGGACCAUCCAGAACCUGGGAAGCAUGAUCAGGCUGGUGUAGAUGAAGAUAUAAUGGCCUCCAAUAUCAACUUAUCAGUUUAUAGGGAUACAGAAAAUUCCCCAGCCAGUGAUGAUAAGAGGGCAGCCGCAUGGCAAGACCGGGUAGCCUUGCAGGUCUAG
rnacentral:rRNA from 1 species